rnacentral:rRNA from 1 species
UACGUAGGGUGCGAGCGUUAAUCGGAAUUACUGGGCGUAAAGGGUGCGCAGGUGGUUAAUCAAGCCAGAUGUGAAAUCCCCGGGCUUAACCUGGGAAUGGCAUAUGGGACUGAUAGACUAGAGUGUGACAGAGGGGGGUAGAAUUCCACGUGUAGCAGUGAAAUGCGUAGAGAUGUGGAGGAAUACCGAUGGCGAAGGCAGCCCCCUGGGUUGAUACUGACACUCAAGCACGAAAGCGUGGGUAGCAAACAGG